GGGCCCGCACAAGCGGUGGAGCAUGUGGUUUAAUUCGAUGAUACGCGAGGAACCUUACCAGGGCUUAAAUGUACGUUGCAUGAUUUAGAGAUAGAUCUUUCUUCGGACUACGUACAAGGUGCUGCAUGGUUGUCGUCAGCUCGUGCCGUGAGGUGUCAGGUUAAGUCCUAUAACGAGCGCAACCCCUGUCGUUAGUUACCAGCAAUUAAAGUUGGGUACUCUAGCGAGACUGCCGGUGCAAACCGUGAGGAAGGUGGGGGAUGACGUCAAAUCAUCACGGCCCUUACGUCCUGGGCUACACACGUGCUACAAUGGCCGGUACAGAGAGCAGCCACUACGCGAGUAGGAG
rnacentral:rRNA from 1 species